rnacentral:rRNA from 1 species
AGUGAACGCUGGCGGUAGGCCUAACACAUGCAAGUCGAACGGCAGCACAGUAAGAGCUUGCUCUUACGGGUGGCGAGUGGCGGACGGGUGAGGAAUACAUCGGAAUCUACUUUUUCGUGGGGGAUAACGUAGGGAAACUUACGCUAAUACCGCAUACGACCUACGGGUGAAAGCAGGGGAUCUUCGGACCUUUCGCGAUUGAAUGAGCCGAUGUCGGAUUAGCUAGUUGGCGGGGUAAAGGCCCACCAAGGCGACGAUCCGUAGCUGGUCUGAGAGGAUGAUCAGCCACACUGGAACUGAGACACGGUCCAGACUCCUACGGGAGGCAGCAGUGGGGAAUAUUGGACAAUGGGCGCAAGCCUGAUCCAGCCAUACCGCGUGAGUGAAGAAGGCCUUCGGGUUGUAAAGCUCUUUUGUUAGGAAAGAAAAGCAGCAGGUUAAUCCCCCGCUGUUCUGACGGUACCCAAAGAAUAAGCACCGGCUAACUUCGUG